rnacentral:rRNA from 1 species
UGAUCCAGAGUACCACGAGACACGUGAAACCUUGUGGGAAGCAGGGAGGACCACCUCCCAAGGCUAAAUACUACCUGAUGACCGAUAGUGAAGCAGUACCGUGAGGGAAAGGUGAAAAGAACCCCGGGAGGGGAGUGAAAUAGAACCUGAAACCGUGUGCCUACAACCGCUCAGAGCCCCUUAUGAGGGUGAUGAGGUGCUUUUUGUAGAACGAGCCAACGAGUUACGGUAUGUAGCAAGGUUAAGUACUUAAGGUACGGAGCCGAAGGGAAACCGAGUCUGAAUAGGGCGACUAGUUGCAUGCCGUAGACCCGAAACCGGGUGACCUAUCCAUGGCCAGGUUGAAGCGAGGGUAAAACCUCGUGGAGGACCGAACCACGUUGCUGUUGAAAAAGCAUGGGAUGAGCUGUGGAUAGCGGAGAAAUUCCAAUCGAACCCGGAGAUAGCUGGUUCUCUCCGAAAUAGCUUUAGGGCUAGCGUCGAGUAUGAGUAGUGGAGGUAGAGCACUGAAUGGGCUAGGGGGCAUAGCGCUUACCGAACCUUAUCAAACUCCGAAUGCCACAUACUUUGAGCUCGGCAGUCAGACUACGAAUGAUAAGAUCCGUGGUCAAAAGGGAAACAGCCCAGAUCGUCAGCUAAGGUCCCAAAGUGUAAGUUAAGUGGGAAAGGAUGUGAGAUUUCUAAGACAACUAGGAUGUUGGCUUAGAAGCAGCCAUUCAUUAAAAGAGUGCGUAAUAGCUCACUAGUCGAGAGAUCUUGCGCCGAAAAUGUAACGGGGCUAAACUUACCACCGAAGCUACGGGCUUGAACUUAGUUCAAGCGGUAGGAGAGCGUCGUAACCGGGCUGAAGUCGUACCGUAAGGAGCGGUGGACUGGUUACGAGUGAGAAUGUUGGCAUCAGUAGCGAGAUGUGGGUGAGAAUCCCACAGGCCGAAAACCUAAGGUUUCCUCAGGAAGGUUCGUCCGCUGAGGGUUAGUCGGGACCUAAGCCGAGGCCGAAAGGCGUAGGUGAUGGACAACUGGUUGAUAUUCCAGUACCACUACCAUCGUUAUUAUCGAUGGCGUGACGCAGGAGGAUAGUGUGUGCUAGCUAUUGGAUGCUAGUCUAAGCGUUUAGGCAGUGAGAGUAGGCAAAUCCGCUCUCAUAAUGCUGAGGCGUGAUGGGGAAGGUUCUACGGAACCGAAGUACAUGAUUCCACGCUGCCAAGAAAAGCGUCUAGAGAGAGAAGUAGUGCCCGUACCGCAAACCGACACAGGUAGGUGAGGAGAGAAUCCUAAGGCCGGCGGAAGAAUUACAGUUAAGGAACUCGGCAAAUUGACCCCGUAAGUUCGCGAGAAGGGGUGCCUACGAGAGUAGGCCGCAGAGAAUAGGCCCAAGCAACUGUUUAGCAAAAACACAGGUCUCUGCUAAAGCGUAAGCUGAUGUAUAGGGGCUGACGCCUGCCCGGUGCUGGAAGGUUAAGGGGAACACUUAGCGCAAGCGAAGGUGUGAACUUAAGCCCCAGUAAACGGCGGCCGUAACUAUAACGGUCCUAAGGUAGCGAAAUUCCUUGUCAGGUAAGUUCUGACCCGCACGAAUGGCGUAAUGACUUGGGCACUGUCUCAACUGUAAAUCCGGCGAAGUUGUAGUGCGAGUGAAGAUGCUCGCUACCCGCGAUUGGACGGAAAGACCCCGUAGAGCUUUACUGUAGCUUAGCAUUGAGUUUUGGUAUUGUCUGUACAGGAUAGGUGGGAGACUAGGAAACCAGGGCGUCAGCCUUGGUGGAGUCAACCUUGGGAUACCACCCUGACAGUACUGAAAUUCUAACUGGCGGCCAUGAAUCUGGUCACAGGACAUUGUUAGGUGGGCAGUUUGACUGGGGCGGUCGCCUCCUAAAAAGUAACGGAGGCGCCCAAAGGUUCCCUCAGAACGGUCGGAAAUCGUUCGAAGAGUGCAAAGGCAGAAGGGAGCCUGACUGCGACACCCACAAGUGGAGCAGGGACGAAAGUCGGGCUUAGUGAUCCGGUGGUACCUCGUGGGAGGGCCAUCGCUCAACGGAUAAAAGCUACCUCGGGGAUAACAGGCUGAUCUCCCCCAAGAGUCCACAUCGACGGGGAGGUUUGGCACCUCGAUGUCGGCUCGUCGCAUCCUGGGGCUGAAGUAGGUCCCAAGGGUUGGGCUGUUCGCCCAUUAAAGCGGCACGCGAGCUGGGUUCAGAACGUCGUGAGACAGUUCGGUCCCUAUCCGUCGCGGGCGUAGGAAAUUUGAGAGGAGCUGUCCUUAGUACGAGAGGACCGGGAUGGACUGACCUCUGGUGUACCAGUUGUUCCGCCAGGAGCACAGCUGGGUAGCUAAGUCGGGAAUGGAUAAACGCUGAAAGCAUCUAAGCGUGAAGCCAACCUCAAGAUGAGAUUUCCCAUAGCGUAAGCUAGUAAGAUCCCUUGAAGAACACAAGGUUGAUAGGUCGGGGGUGUAAGCAUGGUAACAUGUUCAGCUGACCGAUACUAAUAGAUCGAGGGCUUGACCAAAU